rnacentral:rRNA from 1 species
UGGGGAAUAUUGGACAAUGGGCGAAAGCCUGAUCCAGCCAUGCCGCGUGUGUGAAGAAGGUCUUCGGAUUGUAAAGCACUUUAAGUUGGGAGGAAGGGCAGUAAGCGAAUACCUUGCUGUUUUGACGUUACCGACAGAAUAAGCACCGGCUAACUCUGUGCCAGCAGCCGCGGUAAUACAGAGGGUGCAAGCGUUAAUCGGAAUUACUGGGCGUAAAGCGCGCGUAGGUGGUUCGUUAAGUUGAAUGUGAAAGCCCCGGGCUCAACCGGGGAACUGCAUCCAAAACUGGCGAGCUAGAGUAGGGCAGAGGGUGGUGGAAUUUCCUGUGUAGCGGUGAAAUGCGUAGAUAUAGGAAGGAACACCAGUGGCGAAGGCGACCACCUGGGCUCAUACUGACACUGAGGUGCGAAAGCGUGGGGAGCAAACAGG